rnacentral:rRNA from 1 species
UACGAAGGGGGCUAGCGUUGCUCGGAAUUACUGGGCGUAAAGGGCGCGUAGGCGGCACUGUUAGUCAGGCGUGAAAUUCCUGGGCUCAACCUGGGGACUGCGCUUGAUACGGCAGAGCUAGAGGAUGGAAGAGGCUCGCGGAAUUCCCAGUGUAGAGGUGAAAUUCGUAGAUAUUGGGAAGAACACCGGUGGCGAAGGCGGCGAGCUGGUCCAUUACUGACGGCUGAGGCGCGACAG